rnacentral:pre_miRNA from 1 species
UUUCUACUCCCUCCGUCCGAAAAUACUUGUCAUCAAAAUGGAUAAAAAGAGAUGUAUCUAAAACUAAAAUACGUCUAUAUACAUUUCCUUUUAUCCAUUUUGAUGACAAGUAUUUACGGACGGAGGGAGUAUUUG